UUCCUCAUCGACGUCGAUCGACAUGCUGCAAUCCAUAAGGAAUCCACCACAGCCGAUACGAACGUCGUUCGCACGUAGCGUUGAACGCGAUGGGCAGAUAGAGGCCGAGGCCUUGUGCCCACAACAUGUUCCGCAUCCGAGAGUUCGAGCAUUACGCCUUGGGUGGGCUCUUCGAGUGCAUACGUACACACGAAUGCCAACCACGACGCAUGCUGUGAGUUCCAAUCCGCAGCACGACACCAUCGGGCGACGCGGAGCAGAAUGAAAAGGGACGAUUUUGCUGUCUUAAUGCCAUAAAGAUAGGUAUCGAGCACAGGGGGCCGCGAUCGAACAGGGUCUCGUGAG
rnacentral:misc_RNA from 1 species